rnacentral:rRNA from 1 species
UAGGGAAUCUUCGGCAAUGGACGAAAGUCUGACCGAGCAACGCCGCGUGAGUGAAGAAGGUUUUCGGAUCGUAAAACUCUGUUGUUAGAGAAGAACAAGGACGUAGGAAAUUAACGGUCCCCUGCGGUAAUUAACCCGAAAGCCACGGCUAAAUACGUGCCAGCAGCCGCGGUAAUACGUAGGUGGCAAGCGUUGUCCGGAUUUAUUGGGCGUAAAGCGAGCGCAGGCGGUUUCUUAAGUCUGAUGUGAAAGCCCCCGGCUCAACCGGGGAGGGUCAUUGGAAACUGGGAGACUUGAGUGCAGAAGAGGAGAGUGGAAUUCCAUGUGUAGCGGUGAAAUGCGUAGAUAUAUGGAGGAACACCAGUGGCGAAGGCGGCUCUCUGGUCUGUAACUGACGCUGAGGCUCGAAAGCGUGGGGAGCAAACAGG